CAGAACUGCUCAUCACGCUUUGCAGUGGAAUUGUUGCUUGGCCUUGAGCUGUUAGCCUGGUUCAGAAGCUUCGGGUUGUGCUAUCCCAGAGGUGAACCAUGGUCUAAGUAACUGCGAGGAGAUACCAUGAACCCCUGAGUACAUGAUGAAGAAGCAAGAAGAGAAAGAAGCCAAUACAAGAAGCAUUAGUGAUCAGGCUACCUCUGGGCACAGGCUCAAGCUACCUCUUCUGAAGUCCACCAUGGUGGGAGGAGAUGAGCGGACAUAUCCUCUUCUCCUUGGUGAAGGCCAG
rnacentral:lncRNA from 1 species